rnacentral:rRNA from 1 species
AGGGCACCACCAGGAGUGGAGCCUGCGGCUUAAUUUGACUCAACACGGGAAAUCUCACCAGGCCCGGACACCGGAAGGAUUGACAGAUUGAGAGCUCUUUCUUGAUUCGGUGGGUGGUGGUGCAUGGCCGUUCUUAGUUGGUGGAGCGAUUUGUCUGGUUUAUUCCGAUAACGAACGAGACUCUGGCCUACUAAAUAGAGACGGUAUUAUUACUGUUCCGGAUUCUUCUUAGAGGGACAAGUGGUUUUCAGCCACACGAAAUUGAGCAAUAACAGGUCUGUGAUGCCCUUAGAUGUCCGGGGCUGCACGCGCGCUACACUGAAGGAAUCAGCGUGCUAAAACCAUUGUCGAAAGGCAUUGGUAAACCCAUCAAAAUCCUACAUGAUUGGGAUCGGGAAUUGCAAUUAUUUCCCUUGAACGAGGAAUUCCCAGUAAGUGCGGGUCAUAAGCUCGCGUUGAUUACGUCCCUGCCCUUUGUACACACCGCCCGUCGCUGCCCGGGACUGAGCCGUUUCGAGA